AUCAUUUCUUCUGGUUCGGUCGCCCACGUUUCAUUCUCUUCCUCAUUCACUUGGUUCUCUUCACGGUAAACACCAAUGUUACUUUCUGAUUCUUCCCCCUACAACACAACGCGAAAAAAUGACUCAACAUAACCAUACAUUUUCGCCAUUUUCAGAACGCGUUUCAACUCGCUUUCUUUGUCUGGAGUACGGUAAGCAAGCAAGACUGCAUUCUCCGCAGACUUAACAAGUAAUAUACCAAUUCAUUCAUCAUUUCAUUGAAAAAACUAUUUGCUAUUUCUUCAGUAUGAAUUCGGUCUAAAGAACUGUUUCCAUGAAAGCAGUGUAGAUGUAAUCAUCAGAAUCUCAAUCGGGUAAGUAAAAACAUAAGCUUUUAAAACCAAAUCAUAGAAAGAAACUGAGUAAUCAAUCAUACCUUAUUGUCCCAAACUAACAAAGCCCCAAGCUUUUUCUUGAUCUUGCAGACUUAUUGUCCAGAUUCUUUGCAGCUACGUUACUCUUCCUCUUUACGCUCUAGUCACUCAGGUAAAACACACUCACAACAUAUAUAAAGAUUCCAACUUUCAAGUUCAAAAUCUGUUUUUUGCAAAGAUGACACAUAAAAAUCGAAACUUUUGCAAUUUCUGAAUCUUUGAAUUUGAUUCUUUGGUGAAGAUGGGUUCAAAGAUGAAACCAACAGUGUUCAACGAGAGAGUAGCAAUAGCAUUAAAGAGUUGGCACCACACAGCAAAGAAACAGAUCAAACAUGGAAGAACCUCAGAAUCAACCACACCUUUCUCUAGCCGACCAACAACACCAACACAUGGUUCUUCUCCGAUUCAUCUCCUCCGCAACGUCCCUCACAAACGAAGCAGAAGCGUUGACGAUAA
rnacentral:lncRNA from 1 species